UACGUAGGGUGCGAGCGUUAAUCGGAAUUACUGGGCGUAAAGCGUGCGCAGGCGGUUUUGUAAGCCAGAUGUGAAAUCCCCGGGCUUAACCUGGGAAUGGCAUUUGGGACUGCAAGGCUGGAGUGCGGCAGAGGAGACUGGAAUUCCUGGUGUAGCAGUGAAAUGCGUAGAUAUCAGGAGGAACACCGAUGGCGAAGGCAGGUCUCUGGGCUGACACUGACGCUGAGAAGCGAAAGCAUGGGGAGCGAACAGG
rnacentral:rRNA from 1 species